CUGAAAGCAGAUUGAAAGUGUAUUUUUCUGGUGGUGUAUGAACUGUUUUAACUAUGUUUGUUGAAUACAACUUGGUAACCACUUUUGUUAUCCAUAUUGAGCCUUCAUUUUUUGUGGUUGGAGCAAGUGGAGUACAUAUAUUUUUAUAAAAUUAAUAAACACAUUUUCAGAUUAUCUGUUACAUGAUUAAAAAUUCAAAAUGUGGGAGGACAACUCUCUGGAUGUUUUCUCUCUUCUAAGAACAUCAUUUUUUCAUUUAGAUCUUUUGCCAAGCCAAAUCAAGUUAUUAAACACAUCUUGCCAAAAUGUUAAAACUUUUGAAUGCACAAAUAUAGAUACUGUUUGAAAAAAGAGUACAAACUAUAGAAGAACUGUUGUUUUUAAUACAUUUAAUGGCUCAAUUUAAUUUCUAAGCCAUGAAAGUUCUGAUCAUUUUAUUUUAUAUAAUCUGAUGCUGUUUUAUUUUUGCUGCUUUUGUGUGUCAUUUGUCUUCUUGUUUAUACUGUGUAGAGAUAGUUUUCAAACCUGUUUCUUCUCUCAUCGCCUUUGUUAGAUUUCUGUUCCACAUAGCCCAAUUAGAGGAAAAAAUUAAUUUUUUUCUCUGUGUUUUGAUUUUGUAUCUGAAUUUAUUUUUACCUGAAAAAUUCUAGGUCCCCCUCCCCAAUGGUUUUAUCUUUCAGUUUCAUAAACCAAAUUUCGUUUGAUGGUAAUUUGCAUUAUUAUCUUCUGUGUUUCUGAGAUGACAAAAUGUUCCCACUGAAUUGGCAGCAUUUUUCUUUUUUACUUUAUUGCUUGCUUGAGUAACUCUAAAAAUGUUUUGAUUAUAAUUUGUUUAAAUUGAGAGAUGUCCAUUCCUUUUCUAGGAUCAGUAAAAAUAAUAAAAGUUCACAUACUUUCCUAUGAACGUUA